CAACUCCUUUUCUCCCCUAAUUAUUUUAGUCAUGAUGUUACAUCAUAGCAAUAGAAAUCCUAACUAAGACUGUCACAGUCUUGGGAUAUGGUGUGCCUGAGAUGGUGAAUUGUGGCGAGUAUGAGCUACGUAAGGGGCCAACUAUCUGAAAUUACUCCUGCCUCCAGGUUCCUGCCCUACUUGAGUCCUUGACCUGACUUCCCUUCAUGGUAGAAGACUUUGUUAAACCAAAGCAAGAGCCACAUUGUUGUUAAGGAGCUACAUUGUUAUUAAUCUCCAUACCUUACAAGAACCAUUAUGCAGAUAAGAAAGGUGAUAUAGUGAAGAAAACCAAUGUCCUGAAUCUACACACCUAGAAAAAGAUCAGAGCAUUCAGAAUGCAAAGCCAGGCGACAAACAUGAACAGUGGCAAACUCUGCAGGCAACACAAGGGGACCUCUGCCAAGCAACAUUGAAGGCCAACAGUAAGUCGUGACUGGUGGAGGGGGACUUCUAUUCAGCCAUCUCUAUGUAUGCAAGGGAGAAGGCCAGUUAAGAUUAUAUAGCACAGUGAAUGAUAGCAUGCAUUUGGGGUGGACGAGACACUUUUGCGGUACCAGAAACACACUGUGUUAUAAUAUGAAAUGAUCUUUGGUUAGAUAUACCUGGUUAGAG